AUCCAAUCGUUCGAGCCUUCCGGAUCCGCCAUAGAACCAAGCCGAUGAACUCCCGUGCAGAGAUUUUCUCUGGUGGGUAUAGCAUUCUGACAGAGACUCCAGAGAAAGGUUCUAAUUUUCGGGGGUGCUGAGAGACUCCAGAUCUGAGUCCAUAGGGAUCUUGGUGGCUUGAAAGAACAUGACGCCCUGUUUUGGUUAGCGCUUAUAGUUGAUGGCAAACUUUGCCAGCCCCAUGAUGAUCGUUGGCCCUUACGUGCUGUCCAGAGAUCGCCAUGUGGGAAAUAGACGCCUUUCAGUACUUUUCUCCACAGGGCAGUUGGAGAAUUGGAUAAUCUCCAAGCUUGUUUACCAAGCAUUGCACGAUUAAAGAUAAGCAAAUCUUUAAACCCCAUCCCUCCUUCAUCCUUUCAGGUUUUCAAAACUUCCCAAUUUUUCCAAUGCGUCCCUCGCUGAGCAUCUCCUUUUUGCCACCAAAAUGAUGCUAUGCAUCUUUCUAUUGCACGACAGAUGGACACGGGUAACUUGAAGAUGGACAUUGCAUAAGUUGGUAUGGCCUGCACCACACUUUUGAUCAAAACCUCCUUCCCCGCUUUGGAACUCUCAGGGCUUGGGCCAUGUUUCUUCUUAAUGGUAAGGGACAAUUGUUGCUAAAAUAUACCCCUGACUUGUUUAAAUUGACAGCUUGUCCGGAUGCAUAGCAGUACUGGUUAAGUGUAAGUGACAAAUUCUGACAUUCCACUAAAGUUCCAUCCAGAAAAAAGAUAACAUCGUCGGCAAAAAGAUUUUUUACUUUGGGAAUCAAGGAAAUAUGCGUUUGAUUAAUGAGAGGAUCCAGAGUACCUGUGUUGAAAAAGUUUUGCACUAACUGGAACAGGUCAGGCUUUAGCAUUUCCCAUGAUUUUUGAUAGAAAAGCCCGUUGAAACCGUCAGGGCCAGGAGCUUUUAAAGCUCCUAAUUGAAAGACUGCUGCAUGUACUUCCUCCAACGUGGGAUUAGCCACCAGAUCUGCAUUGAUGUUCUCAUCGACAGGGGAUAGGCAUUGGUUAAGGACAGGCUGGUAGUUUCUCGGCUCUUCUGUUUUAUAUAAAUUUUUGUAAAAUGAUUGAAUAUGAUUUUUGAGUGCGACAGAAUCCCGACACCAACUGUUGUCUUCCAUUUGCAGCAUUGUUAUGUUGUUUCUCUGCCUCCUCUGUAUAGUUGUUGCAUGAAAGAAGCGGGUAUUUUUAUCACCCCAUUGCAGCCAAUUUAUACGUGACCUCAUACCCCAAAAUUGCUCUUCCUGUUUCCUCAGUGUGUCUAUCUGGUGUAUAAUGCUUUGAAUCUCCUUCCUGCUUGUAGACUGAUCUGGUUGAUUGGUUAGCUCUGUUAAAGUCUGAGUGAGCUUUUUUAUCCUCCCAUAUGCAUUGGCAAACUUCUCUUUGCUCCACUUUAUCAAUCCUGUUGAAGUCGCCUUUAGUUUCUCUGAGAAAUUGGCUUGUUGAGAAGCUGUUUGGCUCCAGGUUUGAUGAAUAAAUUCAUGAUACUCUACGUGUUCUGUCCAGAAAGCCUCCAUCCUGAAAUCUCUUUUCCUUUUCUUUUUUCCAGGGUAUAGCCGAAGGACAAGGGGGCUGUGAUUCGAGCCGAUGGCUGGAAGAGCUUGGAUUUCUGCUUCAUGAAAGUCUGCAGUUCGCAUAUCGGGGCUUGCUCUCCAACUAUGAUUUCCUUUCCACUAGCUGUGGAAGAUGAGAUAGGGUCCAUAUGCGCCUAUUUUGUUGACUGCCCAUGGUGAUUGCUCAUAAGGAAUUUCUGCACAGUCUGAGGCAUAGUGACCAAUUCUUCCACAGGAGUAGCAAUAAUGAGAUCUUGGAACACUGUAUCUACCCUCCAACCAGGGGGAAUACCUCCUAUUCGCACCCAAAAUGCUGAUCUGGAAAAAUCAUAACAAUGUUCUGGAAUUUCAGGCUCGCACUGUUUUAGGACCAGCAAAUUGCUGGCAUAAGACCAAGAGAUAAAUGCUGGAUAAUUCACAUUGGGCUUAGAGUAUAAUUUACCCAAAAGAGUAUGGAGGUUUUCAAAAAGAACUUCAGAGAUGCAUGCCUAAGAUGAGGGAGGGCUUGAAGGGAGCUCGAUAUAAGACAACUCAGUGAACAUAUUCAGAGAGAUAGAGAUUUCCACUACAAAAUGAGACGCCCAUGGAACCUUUUGGAGGAUCGGGUAGGCGCAACUAAAAGUUCUCCCAUACCCAUAAAGCCAAAGUCACAAUCCACAGCGACAUCAAGUCGAUACCCGAAGCGG